UGGGGAAUAUUGCACAAUGGGCGCAAGCCUGAUGCAGCCAUGCCGCGUGUGUGAAGAAGGCCUUCGGGUUGUAAAGCACUUUCAGCGAGGAGGAAGGGUAGUGUGUUAAUAGCACAUUGCAUUGACGUUACUCGCAGAAGAAGCACCGGCUAACUCCGUGCCAGCAGCCGCGGUAAUACGGAGGGUGCAAGCGUUAAUCGGAAUUACUGGGCGUAAAGCGCACGCAGGCGGUUUGUUAAGCCAGAUGUGAAAUCCCCGCGCUUAACGUGGGAACUGCAUUUGAAACUGGCAAGCUAGAGUCUUGUAGAGGGGGGUAGAAUUCCAGGUGUAGCGGUGAAAUGCGUAGAGAUCUGGAGGAAUACCGGUGGCGAAGGCGGCCCCCUGGACAAAGACUGACGCUCAGGUGCGAAAGCGUGGGGAGCAAACA
rnacentral:rRNA from 1 species